rnacentral:tRNA from 1 species
GGAAAUGUGCCCGAGAAAUAAGGACUACUUUGAUAGAGUAUACCACGAGAAUUAGAGCCCUCCAUUUCCU